AAAUGUAGAGAUAUCACAUAAUACCUCUCAUAAUACAUUUCAUGUUUAAUGAUGCAUGUUCGGUGGUGUAACUUUGGAAGAUCCAAAACAUGAUUCUGGAUGGAUUUAAUACUUAAUGUAGCAACAUUACUGUAGUACACCAUCCUUUAAUAUUGGAUAAGAAGAAGAAGAAUAUUUGCUGUAUCUAGAAACUACUUAGUAUUUCUGGAAUUAGGAGACAUAAUUUACCACUCACAAUGAAGUAAUCAAAAUAAAAUAUUAUUAUUGUUAACUAAUUAACCUAAUUUUUACAGCUCUGCAGAGGACUGCACACCAUCCUGCGUCCACAGCCAAAGCCUGUGUAAUCAGCACAAAUGUGUGACUUGGAAGAUAAACUAGCAAAACUGAAAUGUGUCCAAAGCAGGACGAAACAGUGUGAUGAUGUGGGUCAUGAUGCUCAGAGCGCACUUCACUGGACAUCUGUGGGAGAUGCAUGGCAGGAACCUGGCACCGGUUGACUGUCUUUCUUUGGCUGUGUUUGUGCAUGCAUGGACUGGACGCCUGAGUGAAAAACUUAAACACAGAAAAAUCUCUGGGAAGGAAACAGCUCAUACUCCACCACAGAAACCCCUGCACCAGUUAACACGUGCAUGACUCCAAGUGACGAAACGCUACGUCCAGAUGAACAGAAUCAACUUUUGGAGAUUUACUUACCUUGAUGAUUGAGAAUGCAUCAAGAUACUUCCUAAAACUUUUUUUUUUUAAUCUGAACAGUUAAAACUUAAAACACUGCUUAUAAAA